AAGUCGUAACAAGGUUUCCGUAGGUGAACCUGCGGAAGGAUCAUCAACAAAUCUUCAAAAGCGAGUGUAACUCGACUUUUAACCAAUGUGAAUAGCGCUAGCAAUAGCGAUGUAAACCAUUAGAGUCGGAUAAAAAGCAUUAAUUAAAACAACUUUUAACAAUGGAUCUCUUGGCUCUU
rnacentral:misc_RNA from 1 species